ensembl:lncRNA
GGCUGAAUGUCUCCUCUAACUCCUUCACAACAACACUGCUCAGGCCUCAGAGGAGUCCCAUAGUCAUAGAAUCGGAGUAGGGAAUCCCUGUCUAACAUAAGGGGAUGAGCUGGCGCUGUGCAGACAAUCCCCCUGGAGCUGGGAGACGGGAGCCCACCAGUCUCACCACUCUCACCACUCUCACCACUCUCACCAGUCUCACCACUCUCACCACUCACUCUCAACACUCUCACCAGUCUCACCAGUCACUCUCAACACUCUCAACACUCUCACCAGUCUCACCACUCACUCUCACCACUCUCACCACUCUCACCACUCACUCUCACCACUCUCACCACUCUCACCACUCUCACCAGUCUCACCACUCACUCUCACCAGUCACUCUCACCAGUCUCACCACUCUCACCAGUCUCACCACUCACUCUCACCACUCUCACAACUCACUCUCACCACUCUCACCACUCUCACCAGUCUCACCACUCACUCUCACCACUCUCACAACUCACUCUCACCACUCUCACCACUCUCACCAGUCUCACCACUCACUCUCACCACUCUCACCACUCACUCUCACCACUCUCACCACUCACUCUCACCACUCUCACCACUCUCACCAGUCUCACCACUCUCACCACUCUCACCAGUCUCACCACUCUCACCAGUCUCACCACUCACUCUCACCACUCUCACCACUCACUCUCACCACUCACUCUCACCACUCUCACCACUCACUCUCACCAGUCUCACCACUCUCACCAGUCUCACCACUCUCACCACUCUCACCAGUCUCACCACUCUCACCACUCUCACCAGUCUCACCACUCUCACCACUCUCACCACUCACUCUCACCACUCUCACAACUCACUCUCACCACUCUCACCACUCUCACCACUCACUCUCACCACUCUCACCACUCACUCUCACCACUCUCACCACUCACUCUCACCACUCUCACCACUCUCACCAGUCACACCACUCACUCUCACCAGUCUCACCACUCUCACCACUCUCACCACUCUCACCAGUCUCACCAGUCUCACCAGUCUCACCACUCUCACCAGUCUCACCACUCUCACCACUCUCACCAGUCACACCAGUCACUCUCACCACUCUCACCAGUCUCACCAGUCUCACCAGUCUCACCACUCUCACCAGUCUCACCACUCUCACCACUCUCACCAGUCUCACCACUCUCACCACUCUCACCACUCUCACCAGUCUCACCAGUCUCACCACUCUCACCACUCUCACCACUCUCACCAGUCUCACCAGUCUCACCACUCACUCUCACCAGUCACUCUCACCAGUCUCACCACUCUCACCAGUCACACCAGUCACUCUCACCACUCUCACCACUCUCACCAGUCUCACCACUCUCACCACUCACUCUCACCACUCUCACCAGUCUCACCACUCUCACCACUCACUCUCACCAGUCUCACCACUCACUCUCACCACUCUCACCACUCUCACCACUCACUCUCACCAGUCUCACCACUCACUCUCACCACUCUCACCACUCACUCUCACCACUCUCACCACUCUCACCAGUCUCACCACUCUCACCACUCUCACCAGUCUCACCACUCUCACCACUCUCACCAGUCUCACCAGUCUCACCACUCUCACCACACUCAACACAACA